AAAAAAUUUCCUUAUUACCAAUUAGCUGUCGAAGAACACAGUUAACAGUUGGAGAGCAAAGGCCUCUGACAUGGCGGUGUUCGGUUCAGUUUUCUGCUGUUUCCAAACAACAAGAUAAAUUUCAGCAAGAAGAAGAUAAAGUCACUCACCUUUUCCAGGUUUCUCUCUCUAUCGCACACGCCACGCAACGCCCAUUUCAGCUUCGAACUUGAAUCAUCGAUUAGGAGAUUAAUUUUGUUUUAGAUGCGCUAAUUAAGGACCCACUUAGCUUGUUGGAUGAUUAAUAACAACUGGGUCAAGUAGUUUGGACAAUUUAACAAUUUCUUGUGUAAUGCAUCCCUUUUCAUAAGUAUUUAUUUAUAUUGCAGAAGCAGAACCGAUAUUAUAUGAUGUAUAAAACACAAAUGGCCAUGCUUUACAUGUGUUUGAUGUGUUUUCUCUUAAAGGAUAGACUGUUUGUUGCGUUUUAGUUGUAUGGGAAUGCUAGUAUCGCAUCGAUUAUGGACCUGAGAACUUUUCCUUCUGUCGUUUUGGUAUCAUUAUUUGUUUAUGUUCGUACGAGUGACAUUUUCUGUGAAAUGUUCAAGUUAGUUGUUUUUAGCAAGGACCUUGAGUUAGCUGAAGUCCCCAACAGUCCUAUGGUCAUGUUACGCUCACAGAGGAUGAGAAUGCUGAAGUUGAAGUAACAGAUCCGGGCUUCAUCUGGGAUAAGUGUGGUCACGUUGUAUGCUUUUAUUCUCUUAUGCUAUUAAACUUUAAAACUUAUCUCCAGCUAUUACAUGUGAUCUCUUCCUGGUUUACAAGUUUGCUUGGUGAAAGAAAUGAUUAAAAAAGAAAGUGCUUUUCUGAUCAGUGCAUAUUUCAAAUUUAAUUAUCAUCAUGCCUUACAGUGUCUAUCCGUCUUCUUUCAUCUUUUGACAUAUAUAAUCUUACGCAUGCUUGGAUUGUGCUGGCCACAGAUAGAAGCAGAUUUACAGGCACUGUAAGGUCUUCCCCCACCCCACCUCCCUCGAUGAUGUAGCUGAAAUACUACUUCUGAGAGGUCAAGUCAGUGGCCAUCAUCUGAUUUAAAUUGUUUUGCUGGUCUCUUAUCCCACAGGUAUUUCUAGUUUAUGCUGGAGGCAAUAGCUUGUACAGGGAAGGCAAGAUCAUUGGUUCUGUUCCAUCUUAUUAUCUGGCUGUCCUUAAGCAAGGUUUGGAAAUGCUUACUGUACUGUCACCUGCAGGCUAAUGUUGAAGGAUAUGAAUUGAAGCCUGUUGCUCUUGGUACUUGUAGGGAAUUACAUGUGGAUCAAAGCUGCUUCGCAAUUGGGAAUCCUUAUGAAUAUGAAAGCACUCUAACAAUAGUGAUAACUCCUUCAGUAACACAUCUGUUAUAUAGACUGUUUGGAGGACAAUGGUCAGUAUCUACUUGUAAGUUCACGUGACUGUAAGCAAACAUCAAAUAGAAACACCCAAGCCUUUUUCUU